UUAGCUAUUUUAGAUAGGUUUGUAUUCAUGAAACCAUGGGUACAAACAGACAGUUUGUAUCUAUGAUGGCUAGAGUGAUUCGUAUUGAUUUUAAGCCACGUAGAUAGGGAAAAUCUAUGGUGGCUGAGUAUAAAUUUUCAUACUUUUUUUGAGUAUUAAAAUGUCCACUAGUAGAUUUUUCAA
rnacentral:ncRNA from 1 species